rnacentral:lncRNA from 1 species
GUAUAAGCAUAACGUGUAUUAAAAAUGAGCAUAAAUGUGAGCACAAUUUGAGCACAAACGAAUGACGUGAGUAUAGACGCAAUUCGUAUAAAUGAGAGUACAAACAAAAGUACGAGUUACGAGUGUGAAUACGAGUAUAAAUAUGAGUAUAAACACAAGAUGCAUGAGUAUGGAUGUAAAUGUGAAAAUUAAGUGUAAAACAUGAAUGUUUAAGUAUGAAUAAAAUACAUGUGUAUGAGUAUAAGUGUAACAAAGUUGUAGAAGUGCAAAUGAAAACAUAACUCGUAUGAAUAUGAAUACGAAUGUAGUAUAGACAUGAAUGUAAG